rnacentral:rRNA from 1 species
GGCGGUGGUUGUCCCGGGGUAAGGGUGUAGGACGUUGUGUAGGCAAAUCCGCACAACACGUAGUCUGAGACCUGAUGCCGAGCCGAUUGUGGUGAAGUGGAUGAUCCUAUGCUGUCGAGAAAAGCCUCUAGCGAGUUUCAUUGCGGCCCGUACCCUAAACCGACUCAGGUGGUCAGGUAGAGAAUACCGAGGCGUUCGGGUGAACUAUGGUUAAGGAACUCGGCAAAAUGCCCCCGUAACUUCGGGAGAAGGGGGGCCAUCACUGGUGAUAGCACUUGCUGCUUGAGCUGGGGGUGGCCGCAGAGACCAGCGAGAAGCGACUGUUUACUAAAAACACAGGUCCGUGCGAAGCCGUAAGGCGAUGUAUACGGACUGACGCCUGCCCGGUGCUGGAACGUUAAGGGGACCGGUUAGCUGCCUUUCG